rnacentral:SRP_RNA from 1 species
UGGGGUAGGUAGGAUCGGGGUGCUAGCCGUGCCCCAUAUCGGAAAUCGGCUUCAUGCUGAGAUCAGUAACUACUAGGUAAAUUCACGAAUGGGCGGUACCUGCUUAUCUGUCUGAUAUGAAAUCAUGCCGUAUCGGAUGGCUAUGAACAGCAAACUACAUGAAGGUGUGGCCUUGACUGUGUAUUGUCGAAAUGGGUGAGGUCCGGGAGGGAGCAACCCUAAGGCAGCGCAGCCAUGCUGUUACGUCUACGUGGUGGAUUUGGAAAGAUUUGAGAUGGGGCUGCUUAUUCGUGUCGGUACUAGUAGGCUACCCCA